rnacentral:rRNA from 1 species
UGACAGCCAGGAUGUUGGCUUAGAAGCAGCCACCAUUUAAAAAGUGCGUAACAGCUUACUGGUCGAGCAAUUUUGCGCCGAUAAUGAACGGGAGUUAAGUUUUACACCGAAGCAGUGGGAUCCACUUUGUGGAUCGGUAGGAGAGCGCUGUACGUCAGAUACAAGUCGCACCGAAAGGAGCGAUGGUGGGGCGUACAGGUGAUUAUGCCGGAAUGAGUAACGAUAAAGCAGGUGAGAAUCCUGCUCGCCGAAAGCCUAAGGUUUCCUGGGGAAGGUAAAUCCGCCCAGGGUUAGCCGGUUCCUUAGUCGAGGCCGAAAGGCGUAGACGAUGGAUAGCAGGUCAACAUUCCUGCGCCACAUGCCGGACUGAUGGAGGGACGGCGUCUGAAAGGUGAGGGGACGGAUAGAAAUGUCCCUCGCCUGUGUGGAGGGUAGCUGUAGGCAAAUCCGCAGCGACAUCCUGAAGCAUGGGACAAAGACGUUUAUGUUUCGAUAGUCACCAGAAGGACGUCCAAGAAAAGCUUCUAGGGUUGAUGGCAUGUGACCGUACUAAAACUGACACAGGUAGGCGGGACGAGAAGUCCUAGGCGCUCGGGAGAACACUGGUUAAGGAACUCUGCAAAAUGGCCCCGUAAGUUCGCGAUAAGGGGUGCCCUCUUUGGUUUACGCUGAGGAGGGUCACAGUAAAUCGGCAUCAGCGACUGUUUAUCAAAAACACAGGACUCUGCUAACUCGCAAGAGGAUGUAUAGAGUCUGACGCCUGCCCGGUGCUGGUAGGUUAAGGAAGAGGGUUAGCCGUAAGGCGAAGCUCGCGACCGAAGCCCCAGUAAACGGCGGCCGUAACUAUGACGGUCCUAAGGUAGCGAAGUUCCUUGUCGGGUAAGUUCCGACCUGCAUGAAAGGCGUAACGACUGAUGCACUGUCUCAACCAGUGACCCGGUGAAAUUGUAGCCGUGGUGAAGAUGCCACGUACCCGCAGUAUGACGGAAAGACCCCGUGAACCUUUACUGUAGGCUGAUAUUGGUCUUGGACGUGUUCUGUGUAGGAUAGGUGGGAGGCUUUGAAGCAGUGACGCUAGUCAUUGUGGAGCCAACGUUGAAAUACCACCCUGGAUUCGUUUGAGUUCUAACGCUGAUUCCCGUGAAACCGGGCAGCGGACAGUUUCAGUUGGGCAGUUUGACUGGGGCGGUCUCCUCCCAAAGAGUAACGGAGGAGUUCAAAGGUACCCUCAGCCUGGUUGGCAAUCAGGCAUUGAGCGCAAAGGUAGAAGGGUGCUUGACUGCGAGACUCAUAAGUCGAGCAGAUACGAAAGUAGGACUUAGUGAUCCGGUGGUUCUGAAUGGAAGGGCCAUCGCUCAUCAGAUAAAAGGUACUCCGGGGAUAACAGGCUUAUCGCUUCCGAGCGUCCAUAGCGGCGAAGCGGUUUGGCACCUCGAUGUCGGCUCAUCACAUCCUGGGGGUGGAGAAGCUCCCAAGGGUUUGGCUGUUCGCCAAUGAAAGUGGUACGUGAGCUGGGUUCAGACCGUCGUGAGACAGGUCGGUCCCUAUCUGCUGUGGGCGUACGAAACUUGCGAGGAUUCUUCUUUAGUACGAGAGGAUUUGGAAGGACGUUCCUCUGGUGUACCAGUUGUCGCGCUAGCGGCACGGCUGGAUAGCUAAGAACGGAAAGGAUAAACGCUGAAAGCAUAUAAGCGUGAAGCCCGCCUCAAGAUCAGGUUUCGUAGGGUUUAUACCCGAAAGUCCCCUGAAAGACGAUCAGGUUAAUAGGCCGGAUGUGUACGUGCAGUAAUGCACUCAGCUAACCGGUACUAACGGACGAUUGCUUGACCAC